GACGAACGCUGGCGGCGUGCCUAAUACAUGCAAGUCGAACGCAGUGGGGACGGGUGAGUAACACGUGGGUAACCUCCCAUCAGAGCGGAUAACGCUUGGAAACAGGUACUAAACCCAUACUGAUGGAUGGCCCCGGGGUUCAUUGGCUAGUUGGUGAGGUAACGGCUCACCAAGGCCACGAUCCAUCGCUGACCUGAGAGGGUGACCGGCCACACUGGGACUGAGACACGGCCCAGACUCCUACGGGAGGCAGCAGUGGGGAAUCUUGGGCAAUGGACGAAAGUCUGACCGAGCAACGCCGCGUGAGUGAAGAAGGUUUUCGGAUCGUAAAGCGCUUUUGUCAGAGAAGCGGUAUCUAACUAGAAAGCCACGGCUAACUACGUGCCAGCCGCCGCGGUAAUAC
rnacentral:rRNA from 1 species